AUUAUCAACCAUCAAGCCUGGCUUGUCGUUGGACUUUUUGGUCGUAACGACCGGUCCGAAAAAUAAUGGACGGGACCUGGCGACCCUAGAUGCAACGAGCUCUCUGCAGCACGCAUCAGAUGGGCGGUAGGCCCGGCUUUUAAACCCCUUAUUUUUCUCAGGUUGACCUCGGAUCAGGCAGGAAUACCCGCUGAACUUAA
rnacentral:misc_RNA from 1 species